UACAGAGGUCCCAAGCGUUGUUCGGAUUUACUGGGCGUAAAGGGUGCGUAGGUGGCGGGGUAAGUCUGGUGUGAAAGCUCCGAGCUCAACUCGGAAAAGCAUUGGAAACUAUCCCGCUUGAGGGUCGGAGGGGAGACUGGAAUUCUCGGUGUAGCAGUGAAAUGCGUAGAUAUCGAGAGGAACACCAGUGGCGAAGGCGAGUCUCUGGACGACUCCUGACACUGAGGCACGAAAGCUAGGGGAGCAAACAGA
rnacentral:rRNA from 1 species